GGAAGGGAGGGACGGGACGGGACGGGACUGUCCGACUUAUUCCGAAAGACAAUUCGUUCACCCCCGACCCGGCACCCCCUCAAAAGGAUAAUCUUGCUCAAUUUGGGAUGCGAGCAGCGCCAAGUAAUCACAUAUGAGUUGGGCGGCGGUGGUGGUGGUGCUGCUGCUGCUGGCGGCAGAUGGACGGUGAAGUUUAACUUCGCUUGCAGACGCGGUCUCCUCUCCAGGCAGCCAGACGAGCGACCAGACAGUCGGCGUUUUGUCCUUCCCCCCCGCCUUUCUUUUUGAAGUCUCCAUAUGGCAACGGGAUGCUGACACCUGCCCGGUAUGCAGGUAACUCCAGGUUCUCCAUACACUGACAGGCAGCAGAUCAAUAGGCUGGGCGGGGCCAUGGCUGAGGAGGACUCACUCGUUAUCCGCCGCACCUGUUCCUCAUCUGCAAUCUGCACUGCUUUUAAGCUGGCGUCUCCCCAUGGUUCAGGGCCAGAUGAUUAAUUCUCCUCUGAGCGAGCUUCUCAGCCUGCCGUCUUCUCCUGCCCAGCCUUCUCGUGUGAGCAACCUGUAGCAGCCUACAACUUCCCCCCACUUAAGGAUUUGCUUGUCACGACCACAGUAUCCCCAGAGCACGGAUUCCCCCUCACUGGAGCCUCGGACGAAACCCAAGGAUAACCCUCUCCCUCUUCACCUCCCUCACAAGACCAGCGUGUGCCUGCACUCCCCCUCCAGCUACCUUGGCGUCCUCACUCCUGUACCCAAUAAAGUCCCCUUUAUUAUUGUAA